rnacentral:SRP_RNA from 1 species
UGGCAGGUACUUUACGACCAGCUCCCCAUGAAUUCCCCCAGGUCUUGACCGAAGCAAGGGUAAUGGGUUGUAGCGGUGCGAUAAAGAUAGCCUGCCU